UACGUAGGGUGCAAGCGUUAUCCGGAUUCACUGGGUUUAAAGGGUGCGUAGGCGGGCAGGUAAGUCAGUGGUGAAAUCUCCGAGCUUAACUCGGAAACUGCCAUUGAUACUAUUUGUCUUGAAUAUUGUGGAGGUAAGCGGAAUAUGUCAUGUAGCGGUGAAAUGCUUAGAUAUGACAUAGAACACCAAUUGCGAAGGCAGCUUACUACACAAUGAUUGACGCUGAGGCACGAAAGCGUGGGGAUCAAACAGG
rnacentral:rRNA from 1 species